UAUAUAAUAGUGUAUGAUGCACGUUAAGUUUUGAUCUUAAAAGAUAUAGUUUAAUUCUAUAUUAUAUAA
rnacentral:tRNA from 1 species